GGUCUCCAGGUGCCUACCACAGGCUGUGUACUUACACUGACUAUAGAAAGAGGAGCCAAAGUAAACCUACGCCAUAUAUAUCUCAGCCCAGGCAGGCCCUGAGCCUGGUCUGUAUUUUGAAUGUGGAGACCAUG
rnacentral:snoRNA from 1 species